rnacentral:rRNA from 1 species
UACGUAGGAGGCAAGCGUUGUCCGGAAUUACUGGGCGUAAAGCGCGUGUAGGUGGUGGGACAAGUCUGCUGUGAAAGCGCCUGGCUUAACCGGGCGAGGUCGGCGGAAACUGUCCGACUCGAGGACGGUAGAGGGGGGUGGAAUUCCCGGUGUAGUGGUGAAAUGCGUAGAGAUCGGGAGGAACACCUGUGGCGAAGGCGGGUCUCUGGGCCGAUACUGACGCUGAGGAGCGAAAGCGUGGGGAGCGAACAGG